AUGACGAGCAGAUGAGACAUUUUAGCACUGUGCUGUGUGAUUCAAGGAUUGAUGUCAUCAAACACCAGAAUAACGACUUGAUGAAGAAUAAAAUGUGCUCUUUUGCACCAGCACAGGCAACGAUGAGGAAAUCCCGUGGUGUGACUAAAAGAACAGAUUUCCAUUUCCUGAACAGCAACUGAAAGACUCUUGGUGAAUUUGAAGGUUAUCAAUAGGCUACACCUCCAUUUUCUUCUCAUUUGACUGAAGAAGAAGGUCUGUUCCCUGCUGAAUUGCAAAGUCGUGAACAUUGGGUUACUUUUUCAUGACUUUGGACACUGUUUCUUCCAUGUGACUCCCAAUUGGUUGUCUUUAUUUUCUUUCUCAUUUUAUUGAAUGCAUCAUAAGUUUUAA